rnacentral:rRNA from 1 species
UCGACUGUUUUUACAAAAACAUUUCUUUUUAGAUUUUAUAAAAAGUAAAAUCUGCCCACUGAUAAAUUAAAGGGCCGCGGUAUUUUGACCGUGCUAAGGUAGCAUAAUCAUUAGUCUCUUAAUUAGGGAAUAGAAUGAAUGGUUAAACCUAGAAUAAAUUUUUUAUUCGAUUUAAAUUAAAUUUAAUUUAAAGUGAAAAUGCUUUACAUCAAAAAAAAGACGAUAAGACCCUAUAGAGCUUAAUCUUCUAACUUAAAUAAUUCUUUGGGGGAAAGAAUUAUUUAAGUUAGAAGGUUUAGUUGGGGCAAUUUUAGAAUAAUAAAAACUUCUAGUAAAUAAUUAAAAAAAUCUUCAUUUUAAAAAAGUAAAAAGUUACCUUAGGGAUAACAGCGUAAUGAUUUUUUAGAGUCCUUAUCGAUAAAAUUGUUUGCGACCUCGAUGUUGAAUUAAAAUUUCUUUAAAGAGCAGUAUUUUUACAAGGAAGUCUGUUCGACUAUUAAAUUUUUACAUGAUUUGAGUUCAGACCGGA